rnacentral:rRNA from 1 species
CCUACGGGAGGCAGCAGUGGGGAAUUUUGGACAAUGGGCGCAAGCCUGAUCCAGCAAUGCCGCGUGCAGGAUGAAGGCCUUCGGGUUGUAAACUGCUUUUGUACGGAACGAAACGGUGAGCUCUAAUACAGUUUGCUAAUGACGGUACCGUAAGAAUAAGCACCGGCUAACUACGUGCCAGCAGCCGCGGUAAUACGUAGGGUGCGAGCGUUAAUCGGAAUUACUGGGCGUAAAGCGUGCGCAGGCGGUGAUGUAAGACAGAUGUGAAAUGCCCGGGCUCAACCUGGGACCUGCAUUUGUGACUGCAUCGCUAGAGUACGGUAGAGGGGGAUGGAAUUCCGCGUGUAGCAGUGAAAUGCGUAGAUAUGCGGAGGAACACCGAUGGCGAAGGCAAUCCCCUGGACCUGUACUGACGCUCAUGCACGAAAGCGUGGGGAGCAAACAGGAUUAGAUACCCUGGUAGUCCACGCCCUAAACGAUGUCAACUGGUUGUUGGGUCUUCACUGACUCAGUAACGAAGCUAACGCGUGAAGUUGACCGCCUGGGGAGGACGGCCGCGAGUAGUAACGUACGAAGUAGAGUAGACGGACGUAGAGGACGNGCGACGGACGACGACGAGGGGAGGUAGG